UUGUUUUCUCACAUCCUUUGGAAUCUGACAAAGGUUCGUGUCCCUUUUCCUUUCUAGAUUACCUCACACACCGCCAGGUUCUUCAAGUUAACUAAUUAUAGUUCUAUAGUUGUCUAUUGAUAGCCCUACGCCAUUGUUGUUUUGUAGACCAUUUACUAAUGGAGUCUCCUUUGCAUAUUGUUCUGUUAUGAGUGAAUCAAUCACUGUUCCUUUUCUAAUCUUCACAUGUAGUUUUCAGAUGUAUAUGUGUAAUCCCCUUCCUGAAAAAAUGCUGCUCAAGUUCAAAACACAUGUCUUUUUUUUGUUUGCUCUGAGCCUCUGAUUGCUGUUAACCACUUCCAUUAUUUUUAACUUUCAAGUACUUGGUUUCUAUGAAUAAUUAGACUCUACAUAUUUGAUAUACGAAUACUAAGCUUAUUGUGCUUUAGGAUUACUUAUAUUGGACAGGAGAGUCCGCAUUUAGUGUGGUAUGAUCAGAUUAUUGUCAUUUUAAUUAGUUCUCGUCGAAUUCAAGUCAUCGACAUCCUGUUACCAACUUCAAAUUUCUAGGUAAAAUUUUCUAGCUAUGAUGAAAGUGACAAGGUGAUCAAGGGAAAUGUACUUCACAGGUAUUACCUAUUACCAGUUAGUAUUGAUAGUAGUUACCUCUCAAACAUAUCAGCAAGUCAUUUCUUAUAUUAUAAGUUAGUGGAGAUUACUAGAUAUGCUUGCAUGUCAUUUAACUUUCGGUUAUUAUCAGUAGCUUCUAUGCAAGCUGACAACAACAUCCAAGCCCUCUGCUCCAUCUUUAAGACCUUCUACAUGAUUUUUCUGAGUAUGCACUUUCUCUGAACUUGCACCUUCUUUUACUGGCCAUUGCUUGGCUGACAGCUUGGCUGAGCUGACAGUUGGUGGUCCUCGGUUAAAUGGGAGUGAACCUUGGCUUGUAUUUGGUCGAUUUUGUUGUACUAUAACAUGCUAAUGUUGCCACUUUCUAUUUUGUUGUGCUUGUAGGUUGUAAACGCGAUGAUUCCGGCUCUGAAGAAAACACCGAAUAUGCUGCAAUUUUGAUAUUCAGAAACUAGACAUGUGUCUUGUUGUUGCUUAAACUUAAAAACCAAUUUAUUUCUAUCUUUCAGUUGUCUUUAAUCUGUCCCUUUUGUAGGGAUCAGUAUAUUUGGGACAACUAAUUAGUUCGCGACGGUUAUUUUUUGUGCAUUAGCUUCUUUUUCUAUAUAUGGAAUGAAUUUCUGAUGUAGAUUUGAUGGCCUAACUGUUGAUGAUAUCCAAAUGCAAGUGACAAAAAAUGUGCCAGCCGGUGUGUUGCCCUCUGUUUUGUCACUUUUAUUCUAUAUAUUCUUACUAUAAAUGGAAGAAACAAGUGAUGAAAGGUUGUACUUGUACAUACAAAAGGGAAAUAUGAGAGAAAUAAAAAGGAGAAAAUUCAUGAAUAAUUUUGGUUUGAUGAAA
rnacentral:lncRNA from 1 species